GACGAACGCUGGCGGCGUGCUUAACACAUGCAAGUCGAACGGAAAGGCCCUGCUUUUGUGGGGUGCUCGAGUGGCGAACGGGUGAGUAACACGUGAGUAACCUGCCCUUGACUUUGGGAUAACUUCAGGAAACUGGGGCUAAUACCGGAUAGGAGCUCCUGCUGCAUGGUGGGGGUUGGAAAGUUUCGGCGGUUGGGGAUGGACUCGCGGCUUAUCAGCUUGUUGGUGGGGUAGUGGCUUACCAAGGCUUUGACGGGUAGCCGGCCUGAGUGGGUGACCGGCCACAUUGGGACUGAGAGACGGCCCAGACUCCUACGGGAGGCAGCAGUGGGGAAUAUUGCACAAUGGGCGGAAGCCUGAUGCAGCAACGCCGCGUGCGGGAUGACGGCCUUCGGGUUGUAAACCGCUUUCGCCUGUGACGAAGCGUGAGUGACGGGAAUGGGUAAAGAAGCACCGGCUAACUACGUGC
rnacentral:rRNA from 1 species